rnacentral:rRNA from 1 species
GAUGAACGCUGGCGGCGUGCCUAAUACAUGCAAGUCGAGCGAACAGACGAGGAGCUUGCUCCUCUGACGUUAGCGGCGGACGGGUGAGUAACAUGUGUAUCACCUACCUAUAAGACUGGGAUAACUUCGGGAAACCGGAGCUAAUACCGGAUAAUAUCUUGAACCGCAUGGUUCAUUAGUGAAAGACGGUUUUGCUGUCACUUAUAGCUGGAUCCGCGCCGCAUUAGCUAGUUGGUAAGGUAACGGCUUACCAAGGCAACGAUGCGUAGCCGACCUGAGAGGGUGAUCGGCCACACGGGAACGGAGACACGGACCAGACUCCUACGGGAGGCAGCAGUAGGGAAUCUGCCGCAAUAGGCGAAAGCCUGACGGAGCAACGCCGCGUGAGUGAUGAAGGUCUUCGGAGCGGAAAACUCUGUUAUUAGGGAAGAACAAAUGUGUAAGUAACUAUGCACGUCUUGACGGUACCGAAUCAGAAAGCCACGGCUAACUACGUG